CUUCUGACCCACUGGGAAUGUGAUAAAAUAAAUAAAUGCUGAAAUAAAUCAUUCUCUGUACUAUUAUUCUGACAUUUCACAUUCUUAAAAUAAAGUGGUGAUGCUAACUGACCUAAGACAGGGAAUUUGUACUAGGAUUAAAUGUCAGUCAUUGUGAAAAACUGAGUUUAAAUGUGUUUAGCUAAGGUGUAUGUAAACUUCCAACUUCAACUGUAUGUACCGUUUAAAAAUAUAUAUAGUAAUUGUAUAGAGAGCACUUCAGUGCUGUUCAAUCAAACUAAAUGUUAAUCUUAUUGCACCAACAUAUCAGCAUUCAUUUGUAAUGACCAGGGAAUGUAGUCCCAUCUAAACUCCAUUCCUACUUUCCCUAAAACUACUAGAUGAAACAUGUAUUUCAAGCUAUUUAAAAGAUCUCACUCUCUCUGGCAUAUUAACAAUGUAAUUCUGUGAUUUUAUUGCGAGAAAAUCUCUUCUCUUAUUAACUUAGGUGAUGUGGAAGUCACAAUGUUGGAAUGUGAAAAAAAAAAAAAAAAGCACUCAUACUGAAUUAAUGUAAGACGUGCAUGGAUAUCAUCGCAAAUAUAUGUGUUUUGUUUAAAUAAUUUGUAGUGUCCGCUAAAACAAGAUAAGAGCGUCUGCUAAAUGACUUAAAUGUAAAAAUGUAUUUUUUAAUAAACUGGUCCCGAUUUUAAAUACAUUCAUCAUGCAGACCAGCAAAAUUGGAGUCUAUUUGUACCCCCCCUACUGAAUAACUGAUAUCAUGAUUUCAGAAAAUCAAAUAAAGUAUACAUUUGGCUUAUAGUGAACUAUAUGAAAUGAAUGUUCAAUGUAGUAGGCUACCUACCCUUUUGUCUUUAUUAUGUUACGAUUCAACCAACAAAUGUGUACAAGGUGUCAAGUUCCACCCCCCCUCCCAAAAACAAACAUUUGUUUCACUUAAUAUUCAUAUAAAAAACUAUACUGUCAAAGUGAUUUAAUUAAACAGACGUGAUCUGUAACAGUUGUUUCUCCUGAGCAGCAGUCUGUUUGGAACCAAUAAGGGUUCUAAGCCCUAAAACAUGUAUUUGUCUGGAAACCUAGGCCCUGUCCCGAAACAACCCCUAGCCCCCAAAACCUCAAACUUGAUGUAUAUCUGUAGGUAAAUGCAAUAUGGUAGAAGCUCCUCCUUGGCUUCUGAUUGGCCAAGAUGAAUCUCUGAUAGGGGGUAGAGGCUUGGGGUUGUUACUAAGUGAACUGAGCCGUACAGUCCAAUUCUAGUAGACUGUAUUAUGUCUGUGGUCAAUAAGGAGUAACAUGUUCUAUGUUAUGUGGACUUUGCUUACACAUACUGCUGAUGAUAAGUCUAUGGUAAAGAAUGAGCUCUGUGCUCUAUAAGUGAAUUGUUACGUCUGGGAAGAGUAAUAAAUAGAGAUGCUUGGUUUUGAGUUUGAUACAGUAUGUGUUCUAAAAUGCCUGCUCUGUAUUCUAGAACACUAAUAGUGCAUCUCUCUGCCAUGGGACUUAUGGUUCAAGUUGAGCACGUAGUUCUUGAUUGUUUACGCCUGGUCGUCUGUCUAUCAUUGUAGUCUGAGUUCUAGAAGAGGAGCCGUUGCCUGGGAUCAUCUGGCAACACACUGAUGGAGUCCUCUGCCUUCCCACACAGUCAUCGUGUACUCCUGGAGUGGACAGAGGACCAUGACGUUACCGUCAGGAGAGAAGUUACAAGGAAUAGUCAAUGCAGUUAUGAGUUGGGUACAGUGUGCCCUAUUGAACACGAUUUAAUUCAUCAAAGGCGCGACAUUGACUCACGAUCAUAGGACGUGCACGAACACAUGCAGAUCAUGCUACACCACCGAGAGCUUGAGAAUGUCAAGGGCAGGUGAGGUACAAUUCCUGGCCAUACAGAGACUGUAGGCACUGUUGCAAAGUGGCCCCAAUGGGUCUGACUGAAUAUGCCCAGCACAUCUUCACCCAGUCGCACGGAGACAAGAUCAAGAACACUCCACGGAAGACUAAGCCCAUGUGUGGAUAACAACGCCCUCGGUAAGGAGCUGCUGUCCGUGGUUAGGCAAAGGAACAAAGAACUGCAGAAGACGGAGAAAAAGAAAAAGAUGAAGAAAAGGAAACAAAAGAUAAAAACGGAAGCACAGCUAAACCUCGAAAGUGGAAAGUUCGCUAGCAGCCAAAGGAACAGGCACUGAAUGUGAUACCGCAAGUAGAAAAACUAAAAGCAUGGAAACAAGCGAAACCGAAAACGCCAAAACAGGCCAAAGAGAAGUCACAGAAGCAACCCCAGCAGAAGACAUUAUCACAGCCACCAAGUGGUAAGAUGGUAGAGAACAAGGCUUGCCAGGAGACAAGGAUGGCUGCACCCCAGUCAGCAGAGUAGAGCUCAGUCUCCCUGGUCAGAGUUUAGGCAAGCCCCAGGUAGAAUGUGGAUCUAUAGUGAACAACACACAUGGCCCCAGCAAGUUUGCAGUGACGACAAUCCUCCAAUGUCUGGCAAUCCUAAUUUCCAGAGCCUGGGCACUAGAGACAGAAGAAGGGGCUUCAAAGCUAGCAGGGUUAGUACAUUGCAUAAGAGGAGUUGGAGUAAAACCUGUGACACCACCACCAGGCCAUCCGAGGUGGCCUAACACGAGUAAUUUGGGUACAAGUUCUGUGGGCAGGGACCCAGUAUGUCCACCUCCAAAGAGACCCAGGAUAUUUCACUAGUGAUCACCUACCUCCUAAGGGAGCCAUCAUCUUCAGUCCAUGGGAGGGUUAUUCUGGUAAUACUUAUGCCCCAGUCUCUACCUUAAAGCUCAGGUCCCUUGGGUCACCGACACGGCCCGGAUACGGGUCGUGGACGUCACGGUGACGCUGCGUCAGGUCCGUUGGGCCCUGGGGGUGCGGGAGCUCCCCAAAGCCACCUCCGGCAUCCCGACUCUCACCCCAACUCAGGGCCACUGCAGGGGGUAGAGGCAGAGGCCAAGGAGGGCCUAACAGAGGACCGAGCGCGGAGAGGCGGCCACACUUCCACACUCCAGCUAGAUCACCAGCCUCCCCUCCCUGCAUUCCCCACAGGUUAUCACUACCAGAUUUGUAGCUUAUGGUAAAACGUGACCUCUGCCUGGUAACUGAGCUUGGCAGGAUCACAGAGGAAGGUGAACUGGAGGGAUAUGUACCAGGAGGCCAACUGGAAGAAGCAGGAGAAGGUCAAAGGCAUGCCCAGGUUUGGCAUUGAGCUGGAAACCCCCUAUCCAACCCCGAGGGCCUGGUCCUGGACGAAGAUGAGGACCUUCCCCUAACAGAGGGCUUCCUAUGGGAGUCUGCCUUCCCAGACAGUCCUGCAGCCAUAUCCACACUUGAUGUCGUCAGAGAGCGACCACCAGCGGCUCGGACACGUGGCUCGGAGAAGCCUAGCAUUGUAUCGUGGGAUAGCAGGUCCUCCUAGGCCCCUGUGUCUGUAAUAUAUGAAGACUGAAUCAGAGCACGAGCAGUACGGAAAUGCAGGAGUGAACUGUGAACAGAGCGAGUUGAACACAUAGAGGAAAAAGAAUAAGCGAAAAGCAAUAGGGGUAUAGUAGUAGUAGAGUUAUUGGACAAUCAGGCUCCUGCUCCUCCGACUUUAUAUUAAAGUAGGAGCUGAAGACGAACACCCUAAAGUCUCUUUAUUAUUAACUGUGCCGGCUAGUGUUAACGUCACUGCACUCUUUUUCUCUUUUGAUUUUCCUCUGUCAGGAUAGUGAAUUGCCUGAUGCACUUAGUGUGGAUCAGAGUUGGAAAAAGUCAAAAGGUCAAGUCAAACAAGUUUCCUCAUCUAGUGGUGCCCUCCUUCCUGAAAAAUGCCCAAAUUGUUACUUCCCUGCUGUAACUCUUUGGUCUCUGUGGUUGCGUCUCAAAAGUCUCUAAAUCGGCUUCCACCACUUUGUCUGUAUGGUCAGUUGUAUCCCGACCAAUCCCAUCCCCUGUUCUAUAGAGAAUGUCCAGGUUGACCAGUUGCUAGCCAUUUCUCUGAUGGAGGAGGAGCUGAGCAGCUCCCUACAGGCCCUGGACACCUCCCUCAUUCCUUCCCCUCCCCCCCUCUACCCACUUCUGCGACGCUCUCUCUCCCCUUUCCUAACUGUCCCUGGCUUACCCCUCCACUUCCUCAGUCAUGUCCAUCCUAAACCCCACCCCCUCAGUGAACCUGCCCAUCAAAGCCUCUCUCUCAACAGCCAAUCUUGCCCUGCCCCUUCCCGCAGUCCUGUCAUUCCCUACCCCCUUGUGAACCCUCCCUCCACUGUCCCUCUCCUCCUUCCCACACCUCUACCCAUCCCCCUUUCACCAAAGUGAGCCUACCUGCACCUACCUCCCUACACCAACACCAUUGCAUUACAGUCCUUCUCUCUUGAAUGCAAUGUUUUUCCCCCUAAUGCUACUGCGUGUGAAAUACAUGUGACUUGUUUUCCUAGCAAAAGCAAGUUACCCCCUGUUACUGUGAAAGAGCAGAAUAGUCCUCCAAGUGAGUCACCUGCUUGAUUUAUUUUUUUUCACUUCCACCUCUUUUUCGCUGAAAUGGAAGAUGGGCAGUUAUGCAUAAACAUGAAUUUUCAUGCCAUACAGCAUGAUUGUUUUGUAUGUCUGUUUGUUGUCAACACGGUGUACAGAUUUCUGUCUGUUAGAUAACCAGUGUUUGUGAUAUGUCUCCGCUUCCUGGUUUGACCCUCCAUCUCUCCCCCCUCAGUCUACUGAUGUGGCUGAGGAGCAGGAGCCGUCUCUACGGAGCUCUGAAGGCCUCACUGGCCCCGUCCAUGACCUCCAGAUCCACGGGGGAAUCCUGUAUACAUAUUCAGGGCACAACACGGCGCAAGCAUAUUGCCAGUGAGCAAGGAGUGCCAGGCGGUGUUCGAAGGCCACACCAACAAGAUCAACUGCCUGCUGGUGUCGUUUCUGUCUGGCCUGCCGGCGCCUCUACACCGUCUACAGUGAUCUCAGCAUCCGCUGCUACAUCAUCAAGUCAAAUAAGUGCCUUGAGGAGAUCUUUGUCGGACCAGGUGCUGUGUCUGCACAUUCACUGGAGCAUUCUGUACGUAGGCCUGGCAAAUGGAUCCUUGGUCAGCUUUUAGCUCAAGGGAUGAGUCUAGGUAUUCAUAAAGUGUCACAGCGCAAAAAUAUUGAACAUGACAAAAUGAUCUACCGAGGUGCACUUUGAAGUUGAUAGAACAGUCCACAUAUACUUUUCCUCUGCAAACAAAACAAGUGCUGAAUAUAAAAUUCUGACAACCCCAUAGAUAGUUUAUCUACUUCCCUAGGUGGCUUGUUGUUGUGUGUUCUUUGCGAGUAGAGUGCAGAUCAGGUCCUCCCUAUCCAUAUGAUUGUAUUCAUUACGGUCGAAAAGGCACAACCAAUCCAAGAUCGGCAGUCCUUUUCUGAGACGCUUUGAUGGGUCCAAGUCCUAACCUCUAUUCAACAUACAGUGAGGGAAAAAAGUAUUUGAUCCCCAGCUGAUUUUGUAUG